GCGCAUCUGUGCAUGCAGCAUAUCAAUAAGCGGAGGAAAAGAAACUAACAAGGAUUCCCUUAGUAACGGCGAGUGAAGCGGGAAGAGCUCAAAUUUGAAAUCUUCAAGGUUUUACCUUGACGAAUUGUAGUUUAAAGAAGUGUUUUCUGUUGAAGUUUUGGUAAAAGUUCUUUGGAAUAGGACAUCAUAGAGGGUGAGAAUCCCGUAUUUGACCAUUAUUUUCAGCUGUGUGAUACACUUUCAAAGAGUCGGAUUGUUUGGGAAUGCAGUCCAAAAUGGGCUGGUAAAUUUCAUCUAAAGCUAAAUAUUGGCGAGAGGACCGAUAGCGAACAAGUACCGUGAGGGAAAGAUGAAAAGAACUUUGAAAAGAGAGUUAAACAGUACGUGAAAUUGUCAAAAGGGAAGCGUUUGACACCAGUGUUGUUUUCUCGAAAAUCAAUUAAAAAGAGUUAGAUUUUGUUGUGUAUUGACCUUAACAGCUUGCAUUUCAAUUUUCUUGCUUUUUUUAAUGCACUUUUCGUUUAACAAGUCAACAUCAGUUUCUUUUGUUGUAAAAAGGUCAUUGGAAGGUGGCUUUCUUUUCGGAGAAAGUGUUUAUAGCCUCUGACUCCUGCAAUCGGAGAGACUGAGGUCUGCAGCGUAGAUCCUUCGGGGUUAGAUACAUUUGUGCUAAGUUAUAGCUUUUUAUAGACAACUUGUUGACUAUGAUUAGUCUUGUAGCUUACUCGCUUAUGCUAUUUUACCUACGCUUAGGAUGUUGAUCUGUAGUGCGUGCGC
rnacentral:rRNA from 1 species